ACGGGAGGCAGCAGUGGGGAAUAUUGCACAAUGGGCGCAAGCCUGAUGCAGCAACGCCGCGUGAGGGAAGACGGUUUUCGGAUUGUAAACCUCUGUCUUUGGUGACGAAGAAGUGACGGUAGCCAAGGAGGAAGCCACGGCUAACUACGUGCCAGCAGCCGCGGUAAUACGUAGGGGGCAAGCGUUAUCCGGAUUUACUGGGUGUAAAGGGAGCGUAGACGGAAGGCCAAGUCUGAUGUGAAAACCCAGGGCUCAACCCUGGGACUGCAUUGGAAACUGGUCAUCUAGAGUGCAGGAGGGGUAAGCGGAAUUCCUAGUGUAGCGGUGAAAUGCGUAGAUAUUAGGAGGAACACCAGUGGCGAAGGCGGCUUACUGGACUGUAACUGACGUUGAGGCUCGAAAGCGUGGGGAGCAAACAGGAUUAGAUACCCUGGUA
rnacentral:rRNA from 1 species